rnacentral:rRNA from 1 species
UACGGAGGGAGCAAGCGUUACUCGGAAUUAUUGGGCGUAAAGGGCGCGUAGGCGAUUUGAAAAGUCUUGUGUGAAAGCCCCGAGCUUAACUCGGGAAGUGCACAAGAAACUGUUGAAUUUGAGUUCCGGAGAGGAAGGCAGAAUUCCCGGUGUAGCGGUGAAAUGCGUAGAUAUCGGGAGGAAUACCAGUGGCGAAAGCGGCUUCCUGGUCCAGCACCGACGUUCAGGCACGAAAGCGUGGGGAGCAAACAGG